rnacentral:rRNA from 1 species
AGAGUUUGAUCAUGGCUCAGGACGAACGCUGGCGGCGUGCUUAACACAUGCAAGUCGAACGAUGAACCUGGAGCUUGCUCUAGGGAAUUAGUGGCGAACGGGUGAGUAACACGUGAGUAACCUGCCCUUGACUCUGGGAUAACCUCCGGAAACGGAAGCUAAUACCGGAUACGACGUACGGAGGCAUCUCCUGUACGUGGAAAGAACUUCGGUCAAGGAUGGACUCGCGGCCUAUCAGGUAGUUGGUGAGGUAACGGCCCACCAAGCCUACGACGGGUAGCCGGCCUGAGAGGGUGACCGGCCACACUGGGACUGAGACACGGCCCAGACUCCUACGGGAGGCAGCAGUGGGGAAUAUUGCACAAUGGGCGCAAGCCUGAUGCAGCAACGCCGCGUGAGGGAUGACGGCCUUCGGGUUGUAAACCUCUUUUAGUUAGGGAAGAAGCGAAAGAGACG